GCCAGGCGUGGUGGCGAGUUCCUGUGGUCCCAGCUACUCGGGAGGCUGAGGUGGGAGGAUUGCUUGAGCCCAGGAGUUCUGGGCUGUAGUGCGCUAUGCUGAUCGGGUGUCUGCACUAAGUUCAGCAUCAAUAUGGUGACCUACCAGGAGCAGGGGACCACCAGGUUGCCUAAGGAGGGGUGAACCAGCCCAGGUUGGAAACGGAGCAGGUCAAAACUCCCGUGUUGAUCAGUAGUGGGAUCGUGCCUGUGAAUAGCCACUGCACUCCAGCCUGGGCAACAUAGCCUUGCU
rnacentral:SRP_RNA from 1 species